rnacentral:rRNA from 1 species
AUGGACACGAUCCUAGCGAGCAGCAAGCGUCUCUGCCAGAUGGUCUUCGACGCCGGCCUGCAGCCCGGCACCGAGGAGCGCCUGCGGAUGGUGCUGGCGACCGCCGCGGCGGAGUGCAUCUUCAACGCAAGCUUCGUCCCUUGGUUUAAGGAGGCGGUCGUCGGCUUCCUUGAAAGUUUCACCGUCGUCACCAGGACGGCGGACGAGCUCGCGGCGCGUCUUACUGCCAUGCGCCCCACCUGCACGCUACCGGCUGCCCUCGCCGGCCUCCGCGGCGACAACCUAUUCCGCGCGCUUCAGGCGCUGUGGCUCCCCACAACGGCCUCGGAGGGCGUCCACCUUGAGGUCGCGCUCGCCGCACAACGCCUCGCCCUGCAGGAAACCGUGGACUGCGUCAUCCGCGCCUAUGAGCAGAUCAUCUACGAGCGGAAGAGCACAGCGUCGGUCUAUGAAGACACCAGCAUGGCCGCCUCCCUCCGCCGCAGGCUAACCUUAGAUGGCAUUGUGGAGAAGCACAUCAACCUUGCCGCCGCCGCAGCAGCUCCUCGUCCGCCCACCACCCCGCCGGUGAACUAA